rnacentral:rRNA from 1 species
GUGGCAGCCGCCGCGGUAAUACGUAGGGUGCGAGCGUUAAUCGGAAUUACUGGGCGUAAAGCGUGCGCAGGUGGUUUUGUAAGUCAGAUGUGAAAUCCCCGGGCUUAACCUGGGAACUGCGUUUGAAACUGCAAGGCUAGAGUGUGGCAGAGGGGGGUGGAAUUCCGCGUGUAGCAGUGAAAUGCGUAGAGAUGUGGAGGAACACCGAUGGCGAAGGCAGCCCCCUGGGUCAGCACUGACGCUCAGGCACGAAAGCAUGGGGAGCAAACAGGAUUAGAUACCCUGGUAGUCCAUGCCCUAAACGAUGUCAACUAGUUGUCGGGUCUUAACGGGCUUGGUAACGUAGCUAACGCGUGAAGUUGACCGCCUGGGGAGUACGAUCGCAAGAUUAAAACUCAAAGGAAUUGACGGGGACCCGCACAAGCGGUGGAUUAUGUGGAUUAAUUCGAUGCAACGCGAAAAACCUUACCUACCCUUGACAUGUAUCGAAGCCCGCGGAGAUGUGGGUGUGCCCGAAAGGGAACGAUAACACAGGUGCUGCAUGGCUGUCGUCAGCUCGUGUCGUGAGAUGUUGGGUUAAGUCCCGCAACGAGCGCAACCCUUGUCAUUAAUUGCCAUCAUUUAGUUGGGCACUUUAAUGAGACUGCCGGUGACAAACCGGAGGAAGGUGGGGAUGACGUCAAGUCCUCAUGGCCCUUAUGGGUAGGGCUUCACACGUAAUACAAUGGCGCGUACAGAGGGUUGCCAACCCGCGAGGGGGAGCCAAUCUCAGAAAGCGUGUCGUAGUCCGGAUCGGAGUCUGCAACUCGACUCCGUGAAGUCGGAAUCGCUAGUAAUCGCGGAUCAGCAUGUCGCGGUGAAUACGUUCCCGGGUCUUGCACACACUGCCCGUC